ACUGUGGAACAGUGGUGAGCCAAACAACAAAGAGGGUAAUGAGGACUGUGUAGAGAUGUACUCUAGUGGACUACUGAAUGAUUUACCCUGCAAUUGGUCUGACUUCUACAUAUGCGAGAAACAUUUACAGCAUGUUAACGACUCCAUCAGCAGCUGUGGUAAUGGGUGGGUCCUAAUCGCGGAUUCCUGCUACAAGUUUUCAAACCAGGCCAUGCAGUGGACCAACGCACAGGUCAGCUGCAAUGCAGAUGGCGCCGACUUGCUCUCCUUAGACACUACAGAAGAACGGUUGCAGAUUAUUGAAGAGAUACAUCGUAUCAACAGUAAGGCCAGGUGGUGGGUGGGUUUAAGGAAAGUAUUGCCUGAUGUUAAAUGGAAGUGGCUUGAAAAACCCCCAGUUUCAGCACCGGCAGUCACGUAAGUCAGUUUAAUUUUAAAUUGUUCUCAAAAAAGAUUUGCUUUUUUUCCUACAGUCACUUUUUGCUGACAGGAACUCUGCUUCCUCUCCUAAUAUGUUUAGAGUCACAGUCUUACUCUACAGCACGACUUACCUAUCGAACCACUAAUGAGCGAAGAACACAACAAAGACGAAAUAAACGUUACAAAAAACUCUAAUCACACGUAAAUGAAAUAAUAACGAAGUUUAAAUACACACACACACGAAAGCGAAAACAGAUAACUAGCCCACGCCCAAGUACGAUAUAAUGAACGACUCUAGUAAGGGAAGUAACAAUUAAAAACACCCGCACAUGCUGUGGCACAGUACUGUCAGAGUUCUCCCCCUAAUGUUAGAUCUAGAACACUGUGUUUACACUGUCUCCUUCAUUUCUUAUGGCCUUGAAUAAGAUGAAAAUGUAAAAGAACAGCAUGACGACAACAAGGACAAGAUCGAGGACAAGAACAAAAUCAAUGUCAAUGCUCACGCGGCUUGCAAAUGUCACCCGCUCACACCAAUUAGCCUCUGUUGCCAUAGCAAACAGCUUACAGCACCUAAGCAGACGACUCUGACGUAGCCUAGGCAUGACUUCAAGCGUCGCUACAGUCAGUGCAACAAGGACUUGACCUUUCCCCGCAAAGCGGAUAAAAAUAGCCUUGAAUGUGACGUCAAAGUCGUCUGCUGUACACAGAAACGCAGGCACAGAAAAUGACUGACACGCGACACAGAGUAAGUCAAAAAGUGAAAAGUUUGUAGGCUAUACGGUCCACGACUGGCAGCCAGUGAAGAGAGUGUAUGAUAGGUGAUAUAUGGUCACAUCUACAUGGAAUGCAGAUGAUGUGAACAGCGUUACUCUGGAUCCUUUGAAGUCUGUCAAGAAGAUACUCGGAAAUUCCAGCAGAAAUAUUUUACACUCGAGAACCCAAAGGCACAGAUGAGAAUUUUAGUUGUAUCAGUCACGAUUGAUACUAAUCCUACGAAGUUCAAGACAAUGGAAGAAAGGAGAAUCCGACGGCGUUCUGAGUAAAGAGGACUGUGUGGAAAUGGACUCUGACGGUCUGCUGAGUGAAGUGCCAUGUAGCUCUUCUCGCUACUAUAUAUGUGUGAAACAGUCAACAAGAGGAUCCAACUUAGAAGACAAUUGUGAGACUGGGUGGUUCUUGAUCUCUAAAGCUUGCUAUAGUUUACCUACAAAGUCUAUGCCAUGGUCUGACGCACAAAAGAGUUGUCAGGCAGUGGGUGGUAAUCUGCAGUCUAUCAACACUUUACACGACCUGAUACAAAUUCAGGAAAGAGUAGAUCUGAAGAGCUCGCCGUGGUGGGUAGGGGUGAGGAGAGCAUCUCCUGCCGACGGCACAUGGGAAAGGGACAAUGGUACACAAAGGUGUGGAAUGAUGGCGUUUGACGGCUCGCUGGUUUACGAGGAUUGCACAGCGUUACACUCUGUGAUCUGCGAAAGAAAUCUUAGUAAGUGAUAAAUUAUUUCAUCAGCUUAAGAUGACAUUAGAAGAUUUGGGGCUUGACAAAAUCAUGGAGAGAGAACUUGCAAACUUAAAAACGUGAAAGAUAAUUUUAACUUGUAAAGAUCAUUACUAAAUAUACAUUGGUUUUGUUGGAAGAUUACUUGGAAUAUAUUUAGAAAUUUGUUUGGAUAAUGAAUUAGAGUAAUAGAGAUGGUGUCUAAGGAUCGAUGUUGUAUUGUUAUCAAGUUUACAGUUUACGAAAAAAAUUAAAUAUUGAUAGUGACGACAACGAAAUUGCUAGCCCACUAACCUUCUUAGACAUUAUGUUAUACCUUUUAGUUUGAUUGUAGGUUCAAAUUAUAUAAAAUAUUUCGUUGAAAGAUCUGUGUGAUGAAAAUGACCACACGUAUCUUCUUUUAGAUAAAAAUGUACUUGAAGUUGCCGAAUAAUUCACGAAAGCACCCAUUACGACUCAUUCUGUGCAGCUGAACUCGUAUUUGCCCAUGGGUAAAAUUGUCCUUACUUUCUAUAGGAAACCAGCUGGUAAAGUAAAAUCGACAAUUAGCUAACUCACGAUUAAUAGCGUAUAUAGAAGAAAUUCCAGGGAAAAGAGGUUAGACUGCUCAUGUUUUUCGCUCAAGGACGCAAAAAAGGAACCGAAAUGCAAAGCGAGGAAAAACAUUUGUGAAAAAAAAUCAAACGACCUAAAUAUAAAAUUUAUUCACGAAGACAGAACAUUGUAAAUAUUAGAGAAUAAACAGACUGACAUGUUUAGAAACAAAAAUGGCCAAGGGAAAUAAGAAUGGAACUUUAUCAACUGUGAUGCUGCGUUUCACUGAAUGCUUAAUUUCGUUGUUGGAAAUGCCCAUUAUGUCACUAUCUGAUGAAAUAUUGGCUGGGGAAAAAAAACAAAAACAAAACAAAAACAAAAAAACAAAAAAAAAAACCAGUGUGAAUAUGGUUACUAACACAGCACUGUAGCCGUUAAUUUUCGUUAGAAGAUUUUGCCAGUCUGGGUUAGACUAACAUGCUGGGUAAAAGCCCAUCAGUACGAGUCGGGCUCGUGUCCCUGCACAUCAGCAGUUCGGCGAUGACAAAAACUGCUCUAAUCUGGGAGGGCAACAGGCAGGUGAACUCCUGAGACAAAUAAACUCCUUUUUAUAACCCGCUGAGCAGCUGAAGUUAUUCAAGAGACCGAAAUUUCUGGAACACUUAUUAAAACGGGUUCGACUGAGUAGAAUUUGUACGAUAAAGGGUAAAUCGGGAAGUCUACAGCUCAGGCAAGAAAUAUCAAAAACAAGAACUGUAACCAGUUCCGGUCAUCGAAUUAGCUUCGGUCAUUCUGAGUGCACAUAAAGAGCUGGAUUCUGCAUUUCCUCAACUUGGCUUCGCAGGACUGUUUCUGUUUGGUAAUUAUCCCAGUUUAUCAGCACAUUUUAAUCAGUUAUGUGACGUGUAAAUAUUUGUAGACUACGCCAUUAACUAUGGAAUAAGACUUUUUGUCGUAAUAAGCCUCUGCAUACUUUUCACUUUCUAACACACUUGUUAAAGUUAGAUCACCUAAUAGGUGGAAAAUUUGUUUUUAAAACAUUUAGCAAGUAUAUUAUAGAAAGCAUGAUUAUUUAUGUUAAAGCAUAUUGAGCUUGCUACCUGCAUGGAAAGGUGCUAUAUAAAUGUUUCUACUAUUUUUUUCAGCCCUAAAUAAAAAAUCUUCUCGUCGAGCGAGAACUCUUAUGCCCGUGUGAUGUCCCUGAGAAGAAAACUUAGGAAUGCCAAAGAAGCAGAUGAUAAAAAGCAGAGAAGUUACAAUUUUCAUAUAGUGAUGUUUCAAUUUAAUCCAGAUCUUCUUACUCUUUACUUUUUACUACUUUGUACACCUUAAGUACUUUUUUAAUUCAUAAGCAAAUUAUAAUAAAGAUCAUUAACAAAGUAUUUACAUGCCUUUCGUAGCAAUUUUAAGCUUGAAGUAAGUUAUACCUGUUUAAAACUUGUUGGCAUAUUGAUACUAAGAAUUCUUUACAGAUGUUGUUUAAAUAAGAAUCAAGCUCCAAAUUAUGAGUUGGCUUAUUCUGUUAAUUGCGAUUUACCACAUUGUCCCUAGACAAAUCAAAGAUGUUACUUUUCUACAUCAAAUAGACCACACCGAAUUAUUCCUGGAAACGAACUUUCACUCUGCUGAAGAAAGACGAGGCAAGGAGGUCAUGUUCGACGUGUUCUUCAAGUUUACGAGUUCUUAAUUGUGUAAACUUCAAAUAGAAAGCUUUAAGAAAAGACAUCUCCAGAAUCGGAUGAUGAACAGCUUGACGUCAAUGAACUGGCAACUUCAUCUCUUUGACCUCGGCUCAUUCUUCAACAGAAGUCAUAAAGAACCCAGAAAUAUUCAAAUGAUCUGCAAAAAUGUAUAUACUUUUACAGUUUGACCCAACGCGUUAUUCAGACAUGUUCAAUUUUGUCUUUCUGUUUGGAUUGUUUUGCUUUGGUAGAAUUUUAAAUACUGUGUAAAAAAAAAAAAAAAGUAUUAGAGAAUCUAUUUACCUUCCGGAACUAUAGCGAUUCUAAUACUAUACAAAAUUAACAUUAUUUCGGCUUUGUAAAUUAAUUUAUUCCAUGUAAUUUAGAGAGAGUAUAUGUGUGUGUGUGUUUGUGUGUUUUAUACACAUUUAUGACGGUGUAGAUUUCUACACGUAUUUUUAUCCUUCUCAUAUUGCAGUUUGUUUUGUUUUUCGACAAAUAUCAUAAGAUCAUGACAAAAGCAAAGGAGUCAGUUCUGGUGUCCACAAAAGAAGAGCCUUUCAUUACAAAACACGACUUGUAAAAUUCUCGCAAUUAAAGAUAAGCUCAAUUCAGCUGAUGUAAAAUUUGACAAAUGGUCUAAGGGAAGUAACCAAGUGCAAGUUGUUCCGAUUUUUGUGUUCAAGAGUUGUCUCCAUUAGUCUUGGGCAUGGCCUGAACAGUUUAUUUUCUAGGCUGCUUUGUGUGUGGGGAGGGGGCGAUGUUCGAGGGUAAGGGUGGAAUAAACGGAGAGGGUUUAGUGGACAGUAGACAAGGGCAGCUGUAUAUCAACCAACAUGGCUGCUCAUUGUGUGACCUGAUCACAAUCCUGACAAAUCAAAGCAAAAAAUAGACAUUAUUUGUGCAUGUAAUAUUUGCAAAUCUGUAUGGUGUAAAAAAAAUCGCCUAUGCAUUCUUGAGUGUAAAGUUCUUGAUCCUUGCAAACAUCUAGUUUCACUUUGCUACCUACAUGUCUUACUGGCAUUAAAGACUUGUUCUAUUUUCGAUAAGAGACUGGAGCUCUGCAUGCCCACUUCAAAUUCUAGGAAAACAUUUUAAUUUUGUUUUGGCUUUCUUUGUGCUUUUCUGCUGGUAUCUUCGGGAAAUUGUAUUUAGUUAUUAAAAUUUGCGAGGUUUAAGUGUAAACAUUUCACUAUAAUCUUCCAGUCCAGCUAUUUAGUGUUUACAGACAGGACAGAGAUUAUCACAGACGAACACAUGUACAGGAUAUCCUCGAUUUGCGGGAUCUGAAUGUGGCCUGCACAACACCACGGACAGGGCAAACGUUAGCCAUUAUGAUGAAAACUAAUGAACGCUGUCCAAGAAAACCAUAAAAUUACAUUUAAAAUAAUAAUUAAAGCAAAGUUGGGCUGACUUUGUAGUGAAAUAAACUGCUGGCUCUGUUUGGUUCAUCUUUAUGACUGCAGCUUCUUUUUCUGUAAUAAAAGUAGUCUGUUUACUAGAUUGUGUUUGAGUUGUGUGAGUAACAGUAUGUGUUGCGUGGUGUGUCUGCUUGCGCUGACACCACAGCAUGUGAAAGAUAUACUCUGUGUGUGUGUGUAGUU